UACGUAGGGUGCGAGCGUUAAUCGGAAUUACUGGGCGUAAAGCGUGCGCAGGCGGUUUUGUAAGCCAGAUGUGAAAUCCCCGGGCUUAACCUGGGAAUGGCAUUUGGGACUGCAAGGCUGGAGUGCGGCAGAGGAGACUGGAAUUCCUGGUGUAGCAGUGAAAUGCGUAGAUAUUAGGAAGAACACCAGUGGCGAAGGCGACUUUCUGGACGGUUCCUGACGCUGAGGCGCGAAAGCUAGGGGAGCAAACAGG
rnacentral:rRNA from 1 species